GAUGAAGAACGCAGCGAAAUGCGAUAAGUAAUGUGAAUUGCAGAAUUCAGUGAAUCAUCGAAUCUUUGAACGCACAUUGCGCCCCCUGGGAUUCCGGGGGGCAUGCCUGUCCGAGCGUCAUUACAACCCUCAAGCUCAGCUUGGUGUUGGGCCCCGCCGCCCCGGCGGGCCCUAAAGUCAGUGGCGGUGCCGUCCGGCUCCGAGCGUAGUAAUUCUUCUCGCUCUGGAGGUCCGGUCGUGUGCUCGCCAGCAACCCCCAAUUUUUUUCAGGUUGACCUCGGAUCAGGUAGGGAUACCCGCUGAACUUAAGCAUAUCAAUAAGCGGAGGA
rnacentral:misc_RNA from 1 species